UACGUAGGGUGCAAGCGUUAAUCGGAAUUACGUGGGCGUAAAGCGUGCGCAGGCGGCUUUGCAAGACAGAUGUGAAAUCCCCGGGCUUAACCUGGGAACUGCAUUUGUGACUGCAUGGCUGGAGUGCGGCAGAGGGGGAUGGAAUUCCGCGUGUAGCAGUGAAAUGCGUAGAUAUGCGGAGGAACACCGAUGGCGAAGGCAAUCCCCUGGGCCUGCACUGACGCUCAUGCACGAAAGCGUGGGGAGCAAC
rnacentral:rRNA from 1 species